ACAAGUUGACAAGAGCAUCGGGUGGAUGCCUUGGCGUCGGAAGGCGAUGAAAGACGUGGUAAGCUGCGAAAAGCCUCGGGGAGAAGCUAAACAUUCUGUGAUCCGGGGAUUUCUGAAUGGGGAAACCCGGCGGAGGUCAUGCUCCGUCGCGGGUACUUGAAUACAUAAAGUGCCCAGCGCCAACUCAGGGAAGUGAAACAUCUCAGUACCUGAAGGAAAAGAAAUCAAACGAGACUCCCAAAGUAGCGGCGAGCGAAAUGGGAUGAGCCCAAACCGGCUGGAUUCGUUCAGCCGGGGUUGUAGGGCCGGCAUAUGUGAUUCAUGAGUAGGCAGGGGAAAUGAGCUGGAAAGCUCUGCCAGAGCGGGUGACAGCCCCGUACCUGAAACUGAAAGCGACACAGCCGGUACCUGAGUACCGCGAGACACGUGGAACCUCGUGGGAAUCCGGGAGGACCAUCUUCCAAGGCUAAGUACUAACCGACGACCGAUAGUGUACCAGUACCGUGAGGGAAAGGUGAAAAGAACCUCUGUCAGAGGAGUGAAAUAGAAUCUGAAACCUGGUGCUUACAAGCUGUGAGAGCGGACUUGUUCCGUGAUCACGUGCCUUUUGCAUAAUGAGUCAGCGAGUUAAUCUGUACUGCAAGGUUAAGCGUGAGUGGAGCCGUAGGGAAACCGAGUCUGACAAGGGCGAUGAGUAGUGCGGAUUAGACCCGAAACCGGGUGAUCUAUCCAUGAGCAGGUUGAAGCAAGGGUAAAACCUUGUGGAGGACCGAACCAAUACCGGCUGAAAACGGUUUGGAUGACUUGUGGAUAGGGGUGAAAGGCCAAUCAAACCCGGUGAUAGCUGGUUCUCCCCGAAAUAUAUUGAGGUAUAGCCUCAUGGAUUGUCUACCGGAGGUAAAGCACUGACAGGGCUAGGGGUCCUACCAGAUUACCAAACCCUAUCAAACUCAGAAUGCCGGUCAGAUGUACCAUGGGAGUCAGACGGCGGGUGCUAAGGUCCGUCGUCGAGAGGGUAAGAGCCCAGAUCAACAGCUAAGGUCUCCAAAUCUAUGCUCAGUGGUUAAGGUGGUGACGUUGUAGAGACACCCAGGACGUUGGCUUAGAAGCAGCCAUCGUUUAAAGAAAGCGUAAUAGCUCACUGGUCUAAUGACGUUGCGCCGAAAAUGUAACGGGGCUAAGCAUAGUACCGAAGCUUUGAAUUCCGCAUAUGCGGUCUGGUAGGGGAGCGUUCUUCACGGGCUGAAGGUGUGUCGUAAGGCAUGCUGGACUGUGGAGAAGUGAUUAUGCUGACAUGAGUAACGAUAAAACGGGUGAAAAACCCGUUCGCCGUAAACCCAAGGUUUUCCGGGUAAAGGUAAUCUUCCCGGAGUUAGUCGGCCCCUAAGGCGAGGCUGAAAGGCGUAGCUGAUGGGAAACGUGUUAAUAUUCACGUACUUGUGUGUUCGCGCGAUGAAGGGACGCAGGAAGAUAGGCAAGCCGGGCGCUGGUUGUCCCGGUGCAAGCGUGUAGGGAUGAGAAGUUGGCAAAUCCGCUUCUCUCUAUCCUGAGACGCGAGUCCGUGACCGAAAGGUCUGAAGUUGUUGAGUCUAUGCUGCCUAGAAAAGCUUCUAAGUAUAGGACACGCAAACCGUACCGGAAACCAACUCAGGUGGGUGGGAUGAAUAAUCCAAGGCGCUCGAGAGAACUCUGGCCAAGGAACUCGGCAAAAUAACCCCGUACCUUCGGAAGAAGGGGUGCUUUUUAGGGUGAAGCGAUUCACUCUGUCGAGCCCUGAAAAGCCGCAGAGAAAUGGUGGUGGCGACUGUUUACUAAAAACAUAGGUCUGUGCCAAGUCGUAUAGACGACGUAUACGGACUGACGCCUGCCCGGUGCUGGAAGGUUAAAAGGAGGAGUCAGCGCAAGCGAAGCUCCGAAUUGAAGCCCCAGUAAACGGCGGCCGUAACUAUAACGGUCCUAAGGUAGCGAAAUUCCUUGUCGGGUAAGUUCCG
rnacentral:rRNA from 1 species